rnacentral:rRNA from 1 species
GCCCCGCCUGUCCGAGGGUAGGC